rnacentral:rRNA from 1 species
AACGAACGCUGGCGGCAUGCCUAACACAUGCAAGUCGAACGAGACCAUCGGGUCUGGUGGCGCAUGGGUGCGUAACGCGGGGGAACCUGCCCUUAGGUUCGGAAUAACUCUCUGUAAGGGGUGCUAAUACAGGAUAAUGUCCUCGGACCAAAGAUUUAUCGACUUUGGAGGGGCCGGCGUUGGAUUAGCUAGUUGGGAGGGUAAAAGCCUAUCAGGGCGUCGAUACAUAGCUGGUCAGAGAGGAUGGGCAGCCACACUGAGACUGGGAAGCGGCCGGGAAUCCUACGGGAGGCAGCAGUGGGGGAUAUAGGACAAUGGGCGGAGUGAUGAACCAGCAAUGCCGGGUGAGUGAUGAAGGCGGGAGGGAAGUAAAGCUCUUUUACCCGGGAUGAUAAUGACGGUACCGAGAGAAUAAGCACCGGCUAACUCCGUG